AAGUCGUAACAAGGUCUCCGUUGGUGAACCAGCGGAGGGAUCAUUACAGAGUUAUCCAACUCCCAAACCCAUGUGAACUUACCUAUGUUGCCUCGGCGGGGAAGCCUACCCGGUACCUACCCUGUAGUUACCCGGGAGCGAGCUACCCUGUAGCCCGCUGCUGGCGGACCCGCCGGUGGACAGUUAAACUCUUGUUUUACAGUGAAACUUCUGAUAUUUUAUACUUAAUAAGUUAAAACUUUCAACAACGGAUCUCUUGGUUCUG
rnacentral:misc_RNA from 1 species